UUUUUCUCCUUUACACCUCUUGUUUGCCAAGAACACUCUAUCUCCAAGCCUCAAAACGUGGAAACACCUGAGAUCCUUCCUUCUUUCCUAACAGCCAUCACAUCAUCUUGGAUUUACUUAGAAAACGUCUUUUGCAUUCAUUGCCACGUAUCUUCCAAAUGCACCGUUCUAGUUCAAUUUGUGAUUCCUUGAAACUGAGAUUACUAGACCUGUUAUUUCUGCCCAUAGAGUUUUUUUCUGCCCAUAGAGAUUAUUAAACCUAUUAUUUCUGCCCAUAGAGUUUUUAUUCCACUAAUCAAAUUUAUACAUUGUAAUCUCAUUCACUUUCUCAAAAUCUGCUUUUCGUUGAGUUUCCUCUCUGUUCCCCACAGCAUCGGUGAAUAUUUAUUUCUCAUGAAACAACUUUCAGGCUCCUUAUCCUGACCUGCAAAGCCCCCACGAUCUUGUCACAGCUGUUCUAAACCCCACCUUUCACUUUUGCUUUCAGUACUCUCCACCUGACCCAGCCCUCUGCCCAGCCUUCCAAGCCACAUGGGCAGGAAGCGUUGUGCUGCCCACUCCUGCUUGGUUUACUGUGCCUGCCUUUAACCUCUUGCCUUCUGCAAACCCAUCCUCCUCUCCUCUCUGACAAGGGCCAUCACCGUCUUCAUAAAGAGAGCCAGUGACAAGUCCUGCCCUGGGACCUAGGAAAGACCCAAGAAGCCAGGAUUAUCCAGAACCCCAGAUCUGCUGACUCCUCCAUGUCCCCCGCCAAGGCUGGAGAAAGGCAGAACACUAACCUGAGACAGGUUCCACACAAAAAUAACUGAAGAUGGGCCUCCAGUCUUACGACGCCACAAAGUGCCCUGACACCACUGAACACGAAAACUCAUUGCAGAGUUCCCAAACAGGACCUGUUCCUUUGAAGAUCAUCCGCACCGUGAAGAUGCCCAGUUCAAUGGGUGUGGCUGGGAUCACGUAUUGCAAUAACACAAACAAAAGGAGUUUAAACAUGUAAUAUUCCUAUCACCUGAAUUAUUAAGAUAAAAUGUCAUUUAACUGGAAGGAUUCCUGGAUAUUGUAAGAGAACACGCAGGUCUAGUUCAUUCGAUUGUUCACACACAGUCCCGUGCACCGUGUGUCAGCAUAGGCGAAUGGGAAGUUUGCGCGUUGAGUGGGGUGUGAAUGGAGAAUUUGCCCAAGAGACUUGACCAGCCGUGUUCCCUGCUGUCAUCUCAGUAUCUAUAACAGCAUCGGCACAUGGCAAGCAUUCCAUUGAAUGAAUGGAUGACUCCACAGAAAGAUAUCAAAAGCACAAAGAGUCUUUAGUGGC
rnacentral:lncRNA from 1 species